rnacentral:rRNA from 1 species
UACAGAGGGGGCAAGCGUUGUUCGGAAUUACUGGGCGUAAAGGGCGCGUAGGCGGCCACCGCAAGUCGGUUGUGAAAUCUCUGGGCUUAACCCAGAAAGGUCAACCGAUACUGCGGGGCUAGAGUGCAGAAGGGGCAACUGGAAAUCUCGGUGUAGCGGUGAAAUGCGUAGAUAUCGAGAGGAACACCUGCGGCGAAGGCGGGUUGCUGGGCUGACACUGACGCUGAAGCGCGAAAGCUAGGGGAGCGAACGGG